UGAGAGGACCAGUAUUCCAAAAAUGGUUGUUCUUUAUUUCUUUAUAAUCGUAGUUUCCCUAGUUUUUUACAUACAUGUUCAUCAUAUAGGAGUCUGAGUAAAGAAAUAAAGAACAACCAUUUUUGGAAUACUGGUCCUCUCA